rnacentral:tRNA from 1 species
GGGGCUGUGGUCAAGCUUGGUUACGAUUCAAGGUUUGGGACCUUGCGACCCAGGUUCAAAUCCUGGCAGCCCCA